rnacentral:rRNA from 1 species
AAAAAGCAUUAUAGUUUAACACCCCGAAACUAAGCGAGCUACUCCAAGGCAGUCUAAUUUAUAGGACCCCCCCGUCUCUGUGGCAAAAGAGUGGGACGAACUUUGAGUAGAGGUGACAGACCUACCGAGCCUAGUUAUAGCUGGUUACCUGAGAACUGAAUAGAAGUUCAGCCCUUUAAAUUCUCCCUCCCCGUUGACUCAUAAGCCUCAAUACCAGACAAAAGAAAUUAAAGGAGUUAGUCAAAGGGGGUACAGCCCCUUUGAAACAAGACACAACUUUUUAAGGAGAAUAAAGAUCACAACAAGCCUAAAGGCUAAAUGUUUUAGUGGGCCUAAAAGCAGCCAUCUACUCAGAAAGCGUUAAAGCUCAGACAUGCACAACCAGCCUUCCAAUACAGACAACAUAAUCUCACCCCCCUAAACCUACCAGGUCGUUCCAUAAAUAUAUGGAAGCGUUUAUGCUAAUAUGAGUAAUAAGAGAGUCCCCUCUCUCCCCGCACAAGUGUAAAUCGGAACGAACCAUUCACCGAUCAUUAACGGCCCCAAAACAAAGAGGGAACUAGACAAAAAACAAACAACUAGAAGACCAUCCAACCUCUCACCGUUAACCCCACACUGGUGUGCCAACCGGGAAAGACUAAAAGAAAAAAGAAGGACUCGGCAAACACAAGCCUCGCCUGUUUACCAAAAACAUCGCCUCUUGAAGCCCAAAAUAUAAGAGGUCCCGCCUGCCCUGUGACUAUAA